AGUGAACGCUGGCGGCGUGCUUAACACAUGCAAGUCGAACGAGAACGGAUUAUAGCUUGCUAUAAUUGUCAGCUAAGUGGCGCACGGGUGAGUAAUGUAUAGGUAAUAUGCCUCUUACUAAGGGAUAACAAAUGGAAACGUUUGCUAAUACCUUAUACUCCUUAUUAACAUAAGUUAAUAAGGGAAAGAUUUAUUGGUAAGAGAUUAGCCUGUAUUGUAUCAGUUAGUUGGUGGGGUAAUGGCUUACCAAGACUAUGACACAUAACUGGUUUGAGAGGAUGAUCAGUCACACUGGAACUGAGACACGGUCCAGACUCCUACGGGAGGCAGCAGUGGGGAAUAUUGCACAAUGGACGAAAGUCUGAUGCAGCAACGCCGCGUGGAGGAUGACACAUUUCGGUGCGUAAACUCCUUUUAUAUGAGAAGAUAAUGACGGUAUUAUAUGAAUAAGCACCGGCUAACUCCGUGCCAGCAGCCGACGG
rnacentral:rRNA from 1 species